rnacentral:rRNA from 1 species
GACGAACGCUGGCGGCGUGCUUAACACAUGCAAGUCGAGCGGUAAGGCCCUUUCGGGGGUACACGAGCGGCGAACGGGUGAGUAACACGUGGGUGACCUGCCCUCAGCUCUGGGAUAAGCCUGGGAAACCGGGUCUAAUACCGGAUAUGACUCCAUGACGCAUGUUGUGGGGUGGAAAGCCUUGUGCGGCUGAGGAUGGGCCCGCGGCCUAUCAGCUUGUUGGUGGGGUGAGGCCUACCAAGGCGACGACGGGUAGCCGGCCUGAGAGGGCGACCGGCCACACUGGGACUGAGACACGGCCCAGACUCCUACGGGAGCCAGCAGUGGGGAAUCUUGCGCAAUGGGCGAAAGCCUGACGCAGCGACGCCGCGUGAGGGAUGACGGCCU